UGGGCAGCCCUAUUGAAGGGGGCAGCCACCAAAGAGGCAUACACCACCCUGGCACACUAUUGCAGGGAGUCAGUUAGGCAGGCCAAGGCAGGACUGGAGCUUAGGCUGGCUACAACAUUCAAGGACAAUAAAAAGUCCUUCUACAGAUACAUAGUGAGCAAAAAGAAGGCACAGAGUAGCAUAGGGCCCUACAGGACAGAUCAGGUCAGUUGGUGGCUGAUGCAGACAAAAAGGCAGAGCUCUUCAAUGAGUUCUUCACUUCAGUAUUCCUUAAUACUGACCAAGACA